AUUCGUGUGGCAUAAUGGUUUGAUUUUUUUGGACUAGGACUCCAGAGACCAGGAUUCAAAUCACCACAGGCAUG